rnacentral:rRNA from 1 species
GACGAACGCUGGCGGCGUGCUUAACACAUGCAAGUCGAACGGAAAGGCCCUGCUUUUGUGGGGUGCUCGAGCGGCGAACGGGUGAGUAACACGUGAGUAACCUGCCCUUGACUUUGGGAUAACUUCAGGAAACUGGGGCUAAUACCGGAUAGGAGCUCCUGCUGCAUUGUGGGGGUUGGAAAGUUUCGGCGGUUGGGGAUGGACUCGCGGCUUAUCAGCUUGUUGGUGGGGUAGUGGCUUACCAAGGCUUUGACGGGUAGCCGGCCUGAGAGGGUGACCGGCCACAUUGGGACUGAGAUACGGCCCAGACGCCUACGGGAGGCAGCAGUGGGGAAUAUUGCACAAUGGGCGGAAGCCUGAUGCAGCAACGCCGCGUGCGGGAUGACGGCCUUCGGGUUGUAAACCGCUUUCGCCUGUGACGAAGCGUGAGUGACGGUAAUGGGUAAAGAAGCACCGGCUAGCUACGUG